GAUGAACGCUAGCUACAGGCUUAACACAUGCAAGUCGAGGGACCGGCGCACGGGUGAGUAACACGUAUCCAACCUGCCCUUUACCCGGGGAUAGCCUUUCGAAAGAAAGAUUAAUACCCGACAUAAAGGAUGGGGAUGCGUUCCAUUAGGUUGUUGGUGAGGUAACGGCUCACCAAGCCUUCGAAGGAUAGGGGAUCUGAGAGGAAGGGCCACGACAUUGGAGCUGCGACCCAGUCCAACCUCGUACGGGAGGGAGCCGUGAGGAAUAUUGGUGAAGGAGGUCUAGCCGGAACAUGCCAAGUAUCUUGAAGGAUGAAGGAUUAUGGGUCGUAAAUUUCUUUUAUAGAAGAAGAUUUAUUCUAUGAAUAAGGAUCGGCUAACUCCGUGCCAGCAGCCGCGAUAAUAC
rnacentral:rRNA from 1 species